rnacentral:rRNA from 1 species
GGAUUAGAUACCCUGGUAGUCCACGCCGUAAACGAUGUCAACUAGAUGUAGGGGGUGUUGAUCCCCUCUGUGUCGCAGCUAACGCAUUAAGUUGACCGCCUGGGGAGUACGGUCGCAAGAUUAAAACUCAAAGAAAUUGACGGGGGCCCGCACAAGCGGUGGAGUAUGUGGUUUAAUUCGAUGCAACGCGAAGAACCUUACCUGGUCUUGACAUCCCGGGAAUCUUCUGGAAACAGAAGAGUGCCUUCAUUAGAAGGAGCCUGGUGACAGGUGCUGCAUGGCUGUCGUCAGCUCGUGCCG